UACGGGGGGAGCAAGCGUUGUUCGGAAUUACUGGGCGUAAAGGGCUCGUAGGUGGCCAACUAAGUCAGACGUGAAAUCCCCAGGCUCAACUUGGGAACUGCGUCUGAUACUGGAUGGCUUGAAUUCGGGAGAGGGAUGCAGAAUUCCAGGUGUAGCGGUGAAAUGCGUAGAUAUCUGGAGGAAUACCAGUGGCGCAAGCGGCGCUCUGGGUCGAGCCUGACACUGAGACGCGAAGGCAUGGGGAGCGAACGGG
rnacentral:rRNA from 1 species